AUGUAAAGCAAACUCAGAGCACAGUAAUGAUUAACUUUUCCUCCCACAUGUAGCUUGUCUGUGCAUUAUUAAAUAUGGUUUUAGCUCUGCAGACCUGUUAGUAUGGAAGAGGUUUGGAGUGCAGCUUUCAAACACAGCAAGAAGCAGAUGUUUCAGUUUCCAACCUGAAGAACAGGUUCUGCAGAUGUAAAAGGAGUGAAAUGCCUUUUCAGGAUUGUUACCACCCUCUGAUUCCUUUUGCCUCCUCCCACUUUGAACUUGUUACCCUGGAGCUGAACUGUUUGAAUAAGGACUCUAAGAGCUGCUUUGUGAUCAGUGAGCUGAGAGCCCUUAACAUGUAAAAUGCAGGGCGGAGCCUUCGCUCUCCGACUUGGCAGUUCACUCCCUCCUUUUUUUUUUCCACGCUUAUGAAGGUUCCGAUGCGCUGUGCAGAGGAGCUCGGACAUCUCGCCUGCACUGCCCAGAGAGCUCAUGGAUGUUAUCAUCCUAUAAAACCACAAGUUUUUCAGGGCCGCAGAUAGAGGGAUUGUUUAUGAACUCAUGCCUUGUCAUUGUGAGCAGUGCUGCUCUCGGAGGCCAGAGUGGUUCCUACCAAACAGAGGUGAAAAGCUUUCAAAGAACGCAACUGAUAUAUUUCACCAUGCAAUCCUCACAAAAGAUUUUCCAGAGAAGCCAACUGAGCUGCUGUCAUUGA
rnacentral:lncRNA from 1 species